rnacentral:rRNA from 1 species
UACGUAGGGUGCGAGCGUUGUCCGGAAUUAUUGGGCGUAAAGAGCUUGUAGGCGGUUUGUCGCGUCUGCUGUGAAAAUCCGGGGCUCAACCCCGGACUUGCAGUGGGUACGGGCAGACUAGAGUGUGGUAGGGGAGACUGGAAUUCCUGGUGUAGCGGUGAAAUGCGCAGAUAUCAGGAGGAACACCGAUGGCGAAGGCAGGUCUCUGGGCCACUACUGACGCUGAGAAGCGAAAGCAUGGGUAGCGAACAGGAUUAGAUACCCGU